GAUGAACGCUGGCGGCGUGCUUAACACAUGCAAGUCGAACGGGAUCCCAGGGGUGCUUGCACUUUUUGGUGAGAGUGGCGAACGGGUGAGUAACACGUGAGUAACCUGUCCUUUUCUUUGGGAUAAGCAUUCGAAAGGGUGUUUAAUACCUUAUGUUCUGUCUGCCUCGCAUGGGGUGGGUGGGAAAGGCUUUGGCCGGAUUUGGGUGGGCUCGCGGUCUAUCAGCUUGUUGGUGGGGUGAUGGCUUACCAAGGCUUUGACGGGUAGCCGGCCUGAGAGGGGGGUGGGUGGGGGGGGGGGAGGGGCGCGCCGCGAACGCCCCGGGGCGGCGGCGGGGGGGGAUAGGGCAAAAGGGGCAAAUGCCGGAUGGGGCGACGCCGGGGGGGGGAGGAGGUCCUUGGGGUUGUAAUCUUUUGGGGUGCAAAACAGGGUUUGCCAGGGGGUGUGUGACGGUAGGGGGUUAAUAAGCCCCGGCUAACUACGUG
rnacentral:rRNA from 1 species